GAAAUGCGAUAAGUAAUGUGAAUUGCAGAAUUCAGUGAAUCAUCGAAUCUUUGAACGCACAUUGCGCCCUCUGGUAUUCCGGAGGGCAUGCCUGUUCGAGCGUCAUCAACACCUCUCCCCCGCCGCCUUGCGAGGCCGGUCGGGGGGUCAUGGCGGGCGCGAGGGGCUCAAACCCCCCUCGGGCCGCUCAAAUUCCUGUCUGCAGGGUCAGGUCGCAGCCCCCCCGACGUAGUGGUAUAACAGCCCGUCGGUUGGAGGCCGCCCGCAACCCGAGACGUUAAGCGCACCCCCAUCGGGGCGCCGAAUACACAUGGUUGACCUCGGAUCAGGUAGGGAUACCCGCUGAACUUAA
rnacentral:misc_RNA from 1 species